rnacentral:rRNA from 1 species
UACAGGGGGUGCAAACGUUGCUCGGAAUUAUUGGGCGUAAAGCGCACGUAGGCGGUUUGCUAUGUCGGAUGUGAAAGCCCUUGGCUUAACUGAGGAAGUGCAUCCGAAACUGGCAAGCUAGAGUACCAAAGAGAGUCGCGGAAUUCCCGGUGUAGAGGUGAAAUUCGUAGAUAUCGGGAGGAACACCGGUGGCGAAGGCGGCGACCUGGGUGGAUACUGACGCUGAGGUGCGAAAGCGUGGGGAGCAAACAGG